UAUUUAUUUUAUUUAUAUUUAUAAAUUUUAUUUUAUCAUUUCCAUGAUAGUGAUAUUUUUCUUCUCUUUCCUAGGUCUUGAAAGGGGACUAUAAAACACCAGCCAAUCUGAAAGGAUAUUUUCAGGUGAACCAGAACAGCACCUCCUCCUCCCCCUUGGGAAGCUCGUGAUUUCCAGAUCUCUGCAAACGGCUUUGUUGCCAAGAGGAGAAGAAACUUUGCAUUCGAGUGGAAAUCGGACCACUACUCCAAGCAUAUUGCUUGCUCUUAAUCGCCAAAACAGGACUGCCAAUGAGGAAUGUAUUUGCAGAUCUUUGCAAAAGCUGAAUCGUUGAAAACUUGCCUUGAAACACUCUAUCUUGGACACUCCAGGGGAGAGAUCGAAGAGCGUGGAAGGAGUCCAGCUUUUGAAACGUUGGUAUUUUAUAUUUUUACCCCUCAAGAACUUUUUUUUUAAGAAAUGGAUUUACCACCCUCCUUAAUUUGCUGGACCGCCUGGGUGGCUUUGUUUAGGGGACAAGGCCCAUCACCUGUGCCUCUCCUAUUGACCCUUACUUUGAAUUCAAAAGAAUCUAUUUAAGAAUUUAAUAUAUGAGGCUUUCUUUGACUCCUCCUCAGUUCUACCCAGUUUCAAAGAGAAAAAAAUACUAUUAUUUGAAUAAAGUGAACAGGGACUCA